rnacentral:rRNA from 1 species
UACGUAGGGGGCAAGCGUUGUCCGGAAUCAUUGGGCGUAAAGCGCGCGUAGGUGGCCCCGUAAGUCCGCUGUGAAAGUCAAAGGCUCAACCUUUGAAAGCCGGUGGAUGCUGUGGGACUAGAGUACGGAAGAGGCGAGUGGAAUUCCGGGUGUAGCGGUGAAAUGCGCAGAUAUCAGGAGGAACACCAAUGGCGAAGGCAGCACUCUGGGACGUGACUGACGCUGAGACGCGAAAGCGUGGGGAGCAAACAGG